UGUCUAGGCGGGAGAUUAAGUUGGUUGUGAAAUCCAUGGGCUCAACCCGUGAAUUGCAUCCAAAACUGAUUUUCUUGAGUUAGGGAGAGGAUAGCGGAAUUCUUGGUGUAGCGGUGAAAUGCGUAGAUAUCAAGAAGAACACCAGUGGCGAAGGCGGCUAUCUGGCCUAUAACUGACGCUGAAGCACGAAAGCGUGGGGAGCGAACAGGAUUAGAUACCCUGGUAGUCC
rnacentral:rRNA from 1 species